GACGAACGCUGGCGGCGUGCUUAACACAUGCAAGUCGAACGGAAAGGCCCCUUUGGGGGUACUCGAGUGGCGAACGGGUGAGUAACACGGGAGUAACUUGCCCAUGAAUUCGGAAUAACUUCAGGAAACUGGGGAAAAUACCGGAUAGGAAUGCUUGCUACAGGGGUGGGGUUGGAAAGCUUCGGGGGUUUUGGAGGGACGCGAGGCUUAUCAGCUUGUUUGUGGGGUAGUGGGUUACCAAGGCUUUGACGGGGAGCCGGCCUGAGAGGGCGAACGGGCACAUUGGGACUGAGACAAGGGCCAGACGCAGACAGGAGGCAGCAGUGGUGAAGAUUGCACUAUGGGAGGAAGCCUGAUUCAGCAAUGCCGCGUGCGGGAGUAGGGCAUUCGGGUUGUAAGCCGCUUUCAGCAGGGGCGAAGAUUGUGUUGACGGUACCUGAAGAAGAAGCACCGGCUAACUCCGUG
rnacentral:rRNA from 1 species